rnacentral:rRNA from 1 species
UACGGAGGGUGCGAGCGUUGUCCGGAAUCAUUGGGCGUAAAGCGCACGUAGGCGGAUUUUUAAGUCAGGGGUGAAAUCCCGAGGCUCAACCUCGGAACUGCCUUUGAUACUGGAGAUCUUGAGUCCGGAAGAGGUAAGUGGAACUGCGAGUGUAGAGGUGAAAUUCGUAGAUAUUCGCAAGAACACCAGUGGCGAAGGCGGCUUACUGGUCCGGAACUGACGCUGAGGUGCGAAAGCGUGGGGAGCAAACAGG